rnacentral:tRNA from 1 species
GGGCGGAUAGCUCAGUUGGGAGAGCGCAGCCCUUACAAGGCUGAGGUCAGAGGUUUGACCCCUCUUCCGCCCACCA